rnacentral:tmRNA from 1 species
AAUGCUAACAAUAUUUUACCUUUUAAUCGUAAGACAGCCGUAGCUGUUUAAAAGUUUUUUGAUAACUUCGAGCAUUUUUGAUUUGUUAAAUACAAUUGUUAUAAAACAAAUUAAAUAAUAGUUUUUGUUUCUUUACAAAUAAUGUAGAAAUAAUUUUUUUUAGCUUUUCAAGCUCCAGCUUUGUGGAUUAGCAAAGCUAAACUUGUGAAUACAAAGAAGAGAUCAAACUAAAGCGGACGCGGGUUCAAAACCCGCCAGCUCCAUAA